GUUCGGUGAAGGCGAAGUCUGAGUUUCCACGUGGUGUUGGCCCCUGCAGGCUAUAUCCCCGAAUCCCGACCCUGGAAAGGGGCAGUACUUGGAUCCCUCAAACCAAUCCGAAAUUCCUUUGGAUGCCUGCGGUUGGUCAGUUUCUUCUUUGAAUGGUCCCUGUAGCUAUUCUCCUUGGGGAGAUGUCCUAGAAAUAUGUGUCAAGAUAUGGUAAGAAUCAACAUGCUAGAACAGCAGUUGUAACAUUGACCAAAAAAAACCCCAAAACUCCACAAAAAUAUGUAUAUCUGUCUUUAAAAAAUCAACUCAAGGGCCGGCCG